UUUUAAUUCUCUUUCUAUUCCGUUUCUAUUCUUGUCCAAUUUUACAUCAUCACUGUCCUCAAUUCGUCAUCAUCAUCAUGCUAAUUGUUUGAAAAGUAAGAAUAUCAAUUACCAAAGAGUUAACCAUAAUAAGGAAAAAAAAAAUUCCAACUCAAAAUGGAUUAAUUAGUGGCCUUUUCUUCACUUUUUUAUUCUUCUUCUCUAAUCCUAAUCAUCUGAUGUUUCUAAUCGUUUGCUGUUGGAGGAAAUCGAAGAAGAAAAAACUGGACAAACGAGCUGAUGACCAAUGGAAUAGAAAUGUAAACAAGUAUCAUUUGCAUUUUUCUAUUUCUAUUACUGAUCCUUGACUUUUCUAUUUCUCUCAAUUUUACUUCCUGCUGAUCCACUGGACCUUAUCAAAUUUUCAUCUUUACUCAAGGCAAACAAGUAGAAUAUAUCAUUUGAAUAUUAUAUUUGCUACAAUAUACAUUUUGGAGGUUAUGUCUUUAUCCUAAUUGUGCUACUGGAAGAUAGUGUGUGUGUGUGUAUAUUACAUGUACAUUAUGCAAGAGAAAAUGGUUGCCUCGAGUUAGUCCAUCAUCAUGAUCAUCAUAAAAAUAAUAUCAUUGGCAAAGAUGUGAUACCAACAAUAUGAAUGAACCAUGGAUAAGGAUAAGAAAGUGAAAAGAGAAACAAGAAUAAAUCAGAAUGAUGAUGAUUUCCAAAGGAAGAGUGAAACUACACCAUUAAGAAAACCAUGGUUAUAAUGUAAAUUGAAAAGCGAGCAAUUGAUAAUGAAUGAGAAUGAUAAAGAGGAAUCAGAAUUUUUUUAUUAUGAUUAUAAAUGAUUAUCAUUACUCUGAUCUGUAUGUACACCACACACGAUACGAGCCGUUAUUAUGGAUUGUGAAGGAAGGAAAGGAUUUGUUCCGUUACACUGAGUGACCUUCGUUCGUAUCGAGGCAAUAAUAGUAAUAGCUAUAUUCAUCAUAAUAAGGACCAUAAAUAUAAAACAAAAUUUAUAAAAAAAAGAGCGAGGGAAAAAUCCUGUGAGAUUCAUUACAUUUUCAUCCCUUUGAUAUUUUGGUGGAUCUUCAAGUUUUGGUUGAAACCUCGUUCAAAGUAUAUCAGCCUUAAAAAAGCCAUAAUCCAAGGAGAUAUUUCAUAACCAUUAUUGUUGACGUUCCAAAGGAUAUGGAACUUUGAAGAUUCUCUUCCUUCACCUCAUCCUCUUCAGGGAAUUAAACCUUAAUAUCAUCGAAAGAUGUAAAAUGGCUUUAAAACGGACAUUUUCAAUUAACUUACGGACUCUUUUCAUCAUCAAAUCACAGUUGAUUCAACCAUAAUCAUCAUUUAAACAAACAUAAAACCAACACCAGAAGCGAAGGGACAAAAAAGUUUCAUCAAUUUAAUGAUGAGGUUAACUUUUUCCUCUUAUUUUUUUAUUUUCAUCUAUUUAUACUCGUUAACGGUUCUGAUAUUGAUCAUUAAGGUAUCUUGAUAAGGUGAUAAUAAGCAUGAUUAUGAUGAUGACGAUAAUGAUGAUAAUGAUAAAUUGAUCAUUGAAUAAAUCCCAUGAGAAGAUGAUUCAAUGAUGAUACUAUGAUAGAUAUAAUUGAACUUUGAUUUUCUUCAUCUUUUUUACUUUUAGGUUGAAAGUAAAACCUCAUUACAAUGGAUUCAUUUAAUUUCCAUUUAAUAUCAUGAUUAAAAUAAUCUUUAUGAUAUUAAUUAGUUGCCCUGUUAACUAUCCCCGAUUGUACAGUAAUCAAAAUGUUUACCUGUUCACAUUAUAAAACUCAUUGAAUUUACUAUGAAUGUGAAUUCAUUCAUUAGCCAAUGAAUUUAAUUUCAUCCAAUCCACCUUAAUCAUCAUUUACCUUACAGUUUAAUUCAACCCUUUCAAUUUAAUUCUGAUGAUGAUUAACAAAAAAAAAUGAUGUAAUUAUUUAUCUCAUCAUGUUGAGGAUUUAAUGAAAAUCUUGUAAAAGAAAAGGAAUUAAAAUCAACAAUUUAAAUUGUUAAUAUUUAAAUGAAAAGACUCAAGAUAUGAAGAACCAAAGGAAAUAGUCAAAAUUAACCAACAAUUAAGGAAAUCUGAAGUUCUAAUGGAAAAAAUAAUCAACAGCAAUCAGGAAGAAGUAAAUUAAUUGUGAUCAAGUUUAUAUCCUGAUUAUGGUGAUAAUGCCAAUCAAUGUUGAUUUCUUUGCGUUGACAAUUUAAUUUGCUGAUUUUCGGACAAUCAUUACGAUUGUUAUGACGAUUAUUAUGAUUAACAUUCAAUUUAAUUACUUAUCUUGAGCAGUAAUAAUAAUAAUUCAGAUCAUUUUACUAUUCGCAGUUAUUAGUUUAGUAAGAAUGAUUAACACAGAGAAAAUGAAAUGAUAAUAAUUUAACUUUACCGUUAACUGUAUUUAACUAAAUCAACUGAGAAUUGCAAUCUCAUUGCGUCCCCAGUGAAAUUAAUCUAAUCUUUGAUUUAGAUUAUCUUUCCUUUAAUUGUCCAGGGAAUUGGUUCUUCCCGUUAGUUGAUUUAACUAUUGACGUAAUUGUAUCAACUUUAUUGUUAAAUAUGAUAAAAGUAACACAACAGUUAUAAAAAGAGAUGAGUUAAUCACCAGGAAUCAGAUUAAUCAUUGAAUAAGGAAUAAUAACAAAAAGGAAAGUGAUUAAAUCAACUAAUCAUUUUUGUUCAUCAUAUAAAUUAACCAGAAUCUUGAAUGUUAAUCAUUCAAAUUGAAUUGAUAAUCAAAAUAAUCAUCAUUAACAGAUUAACUUAAUCAAGUUGUCAUUAAUUUACCAGCAUACUAAUCAUAAUCAACUUGAUUGGUAAAAAAAAAUAGUUCAAUGAUUUUAAAUUACCCUUAAGCAAUUUCAAUCUGAAUCAAUUCAACACUACACAAAUUAACAAUUCAAAUGAUUAACGGUAUUAAUUAACUUUGAUAAUUCAACAAUUAAUCGUCAACCCUAUGAAAAAAAAACCUAAUGAUUAACAAUUAGUAACUAAAUUACCUCUUCAAAUUUCAAAUUGUUAAAUUUUUCUUAUUCAAACUAAUUAACGAUAACCAAAUCAACUGAUCAAUAUGAUGAUCGAUAUUAAAUAUUAUCAGUUUGAUACAUGAAUUCAAUAUUGGAAUUAUUAAAUUGUGAUCAUUCAAUGAGUUUUGUUGUAUCUUUAAGGCAAAUACUCAUCUCAUCAUCCCUCAUCCACUCAUCAUCCCAUCAUCAUCUUGAUCAUCUUGAUCAGCAUCUGAUUAUAAUCAUCAAGUGAUCAUAUUACACCCUCUAAAUUGUUAAUCUUAUUUAAAGCUUAAUCAACAUUGUAACACUUAAUGCGAUUUGUGUAUUAAACUCAAAAGGAUAACAUCCAAUUAAGAUUAACUAUUAAUAUCAUUUUACAAUUAACAAAUUAAUAAAUUAUUUCAAAUUACUGAAUAUAAUU